UGAGUACGAGAUGCUACGGCAUCGAAGCAGUCUAUGUCAUACUUCCAAGAAAAGCUUGCAAUGUCAUAAACAAAUAAUGCCUGUACCAUAACCGACACAGGUGGGUAGGUAGAGUAUACUAAGGGGCGCGAGAUAACUCUCUCUAAGGAACUCGGCAAAAUGACUCCGUAACUUCGGGAGAAGGAGUGCCUUAUUUUUAUAAGGUUGCAAUAACAAGAUCCAAGCAACUGUUUACCAAAAACACAGGUCUCCGCUAAGUCGUAAGACGAUGUAUGGGGGCUGACGCCUGCCCAGUGCCAGAAGGUUAAAGAAGUUGGUUAGCAUUAGCGAAGCUGAUAACUGAAGCCCUGGUGAACGGCGGCCGUAACAAUAACGGUCCUAGGUAGCGAAAUUCCUUGUCGGGUAAGUUCCGACCCGCACGAAAGGCGUAAUGAUUUGGAUACUGUCUCGGAGAGGGGCUCGGUGAAAUAGACUUGUCUGUGAAGAUGCGGACUACCUGCACCUGGACAGAAAGACCCUAUGAAGCUUUACUGUAACUUAGUUUGAAAUUGGACUUUAUCUGCGCAGUAUAGGUGGGAGACGUUGAAAAUAUUCUUGCGGGAAUAUUGGAGUCAUCAGUGAGAUACCACUCUUAUAAUGUUAGAUUUCUAACUUUGUAUCAUUAUCUGGUCAAAGAACAGUCUCAGGCGGGCAGUUUGACUGGGGCGGUCGCCUCCCAAACGGUAACGGAGGCGCACAAAGGUUUCCUCUGAACGUGUAGAAAUCGUAUCUAGAGUGUAAAGGCAUAAGGAAGCUUGACUGUGAGACCUACAAGUCGAGCAGGGACGAAAGUCGGUCUUAGUGAUCUGACGGUGCUGAGUGGAAAGGCCGUCACUCAACGGAUAAAAGUUACUCUAGGAUAACAGGCUGAUCUCCCCCAAGAGUUCACAUCGACGGGGAGGUUUGGCACCUCGAUGUCGGCUCAUCGCAUCCUGGGGCGGUAGUACGUCCCAAGGGUUGGGCUGUUCGCCCAUGAAAGCGGUACGCGAGCUGGGUUCAGAACGUCGUGAGACAGUUCGGUCCAUAUCCGGUGUAGGCGUUAGAAUAUUGAGAGGAGCCUUCUUUAGUACGAGAGGACCGAGAAGGACAUACCUCUGGUGUACCAGUUAUCGUGCCAACGGUAAACGCUGGGUAGCCAUGUAUGGAGAGGAUAACCGCUGAAAGCAUCUAAGUGGGAAGCCCACCUCAAGAUAAGUAUUCUC
rnacentral:rRNA from 1 species